AGUCAUGCAGUAAGCACAAAGCGAACUAUUCUUUCGCCUUUUACUAAAGAAUACCGUGUGCUUGCCUGCUUUUAGUGGCAUAUGAUUAUUUUUGGAAGGGUGACUCUUACUAGAGAUAA
rnacentral:snRNA from 1 species